GACGAACGCUGGCGGCGCGCCUAAUACAUGCAAGUCGAGCGAGCGGAACUAACAGAUUUACUUCGGUAAUGACGUUAGGAAAGCGAGCGGCGGAUGGGUGAGUAACACGUGGGGAAUCCGCCCCAUAGUCUGGGAUACCACUUGGAAACAGGUGCUAAUACCGGAUAAGAAAGCAGAUCGCAUGAUCAGCUUUUAAAAGGCGGCGUAAGCUGUCGCUAUGGGAUGGCCCCGCGGUGCGUUAGCUAGUUGGUAAGGUAAAGGCUUACCAAGGCGAUGAUGCAUAGCCGAGUUGAGAGACUGAUCGGCCACAUUGGGACUGAGACACGGCCCAAACUCCUACGGGAGGCAGCAGUAGGGAAUCUUCCACAAUGGACGCAAGUCUGAUGGAGCAACGCCGCGUGAGUGAAGAAGGUUUUCGGAUCGUAAAGCUCUGUUGUUGGUGAAGAAGGAUAGAGGUAGUAACUGGCCUUUAUUUGACGGUAAUCAACCAGAAAGUCACGGCUAACUACGUGCCAGCAGCCGCGGCAAUACGUAGGUGGCAAGCGUUGUCCGGAUUUAUUGGGCGUAAAGCGAGCGCAGGCGGAAGAAUAAGUCUGAUGUGAAAGCCUUCGGCUUAACCGAGGAACUGCAUCGGAAACUGUUUUUCUUGAGUGCAGAGGAGGAGAGUGGAACUCCAUGUGUAGCGGUGGAAUGCGUAGAUAUAUGGAAGAACACCAGUGGCGAAGGCGGCUCUCUGGUCUGCAACUGACGCUGAGGCUCGAAAGCAUGGGUAGUGAACAGGAUUAGAUACCCUGGUAGUCCAUGCCGUAAACGAUGAGUGCUAAGUGUUGGGAGGUUUCCGCCUCUCAGUGCUGCAGCUAACGCAUUAAGCACUCCGCCUGGGGAGUACGACCGCAAGGUUGAAACUCAAAGGAAUUGACGGGGGCCCGCACAAGCGGUGGAGCAUGUGGUUAAAUUCGAAGCAACGCGAAGAACCUUACCAGGUCUUGACAUCUAGUGCCAUUUGUAGAGAUACAAAGUUCCCUUCGGGGACGCUAAGACAGGUGGUGCAUGGCUGUCGUCAGCCCGUGUCGUGAGAUGUUGGGUUAAGUCCCGCAACGAGCGCAACCCUUGUUAUUAGUUGCCAGCAUUAAGUUGGGCACUCUAAUGAGACUGCCGGCGACGAGCCGGAGGAAGGUGGGGAUGACGUCAAGUCAUCAUGCCCCUUAUGACCUGGGCUACACACGUGCUACAAUGGGCAGUACAACGAGAAGCGAGCCUGCGAAGGCAAGCGAAUCUCUGAAAGCUGUUCUCAGUUCGGACUGCAGUCUGCAACUCGACUGCACGAAGCUGGAAUCGCUAGUAAUCGCGGGUCAACACGCCGCGGUGAAUACGUUCCCGGGCCUUGUACACACCGCCCGUCACACCAUGGGAGUCUGCAAUGCCCAAAGCCGGUGGCCUAACCUUCGGGAAGGAGCCGUCUAAGGCAGGGCAGAAGACUGGGGUGAAGUCGUAACAAGGUAGCCGUAGGAGAACC
rnacentral:rRNA from 1 species